GCGUCCUCGCCCGGGUUUAGUGUUUUAUAAUCCUCAUAACACAGACAUGCCAGGUGAAAUGUAACUGUGCAUCCACUUCAUGGGAGAUGAUUGUCACAUAACCUCAUACACGUUCUCAUCCCAAAUAAUCAGCACUGGAUGACACCAGAACCCAUUUUUUUAAACAAAUACAUACACAAAUAUACAGCACACACACAAAUAUACAACACACACUCACA